rnacentral:rRNA from 1 species
UGAGUUUUAACCCGGGGGCUGUUUUAACAAACAAAAGGUUUUAUUAUCAUUUGUCUCCUAAUUAGAGACUAGUAUGAAUGGCAAGACGGAACAAAACUGUCUCUUUCUCAUGACACAGAACUUCACUUUCCCGUGAAGAGGCGGGAAUAAGCUCGCUAGACGAGAAGACCCUGUCGAGCUUUAGCAAACUCCAAGCCCUUAAUUUGCUUAUUAUGGACUAAUUAAUAGAAUUACCCAACAAUAAACUUUUUGGCCCUUGGAAAAGCUUUGGUUGGGGCAACCGCGGAGAAAAAUAAUCCUCCGCUAAUAAUAGAAUACUAUAUGAAGACAACUCUAAAAUAAAGGAAACAAAUGAUCCACUAAGGUGAUCAAAGGAACAAGUUACCGCAGGGAUAACAGCGUUAUCUUUUCUGAGAGUCCACAUUGACGAAAAGGUUUGCGACCUCGAUGUUGGAUCGGGACAUCCUGAGGGUGCAGAAGCUUUCAAGGGUUGGUCUGUUCGACCAUUAAAGUCCUACGUGAUCUGAGUUCAGACCG